UCCAGGCCUAGUUGGGGUGGAUGCUGGGAAAACUAUUGAACUAGAUAAGUUACAACUCAUCUCGAAGUAACUUGUCUGGUCCAAUGGUUGUUCACGGCAUCCACAAAGGGCCUGGCUAUCC
rnacentral:pre_miRNA from 1 species